rnacentral:rRNA from 1 species
AUUGAACGCUGGCGGCAUGCUUUACACAUGCAAGUCGAACGGCAGCGCGGGCUUCGGCCUGGCGGCGAGUGGCGAACGGGUGAGUAAUGCAUCGGAACGUGCCCAGUAGUGGGAGAUAGCCCGGCGAAAGGCGGAUUAAUACCGCAUACUACCUGAGGGUGAAAGCGGGGGACCGAAAGACCUCUCGCCAUUGGGACGGCCGAUGUCGGAUUAGCUAGUUGGUGGGGUAAAGGCUUACCAAGGCGACGAUCCGUAGCUGGUCUGAGAGGACGACCAGCCACACUGGGACUGAGACACGGCCCAGACUCCUACGGGAGGCAGCAGUGGGGAAUUUUGGACAAUGGGGGCAACCCUGAUCCAGCCAUGCCGCGUGCGGGAAGAAGGCCUUCGGGUUGUAAACCGCUUUUGUUCGGGAAGAAAAGCUCUGGGCUAAUACCCCGGGGGGAUGACGGUACCGGAAGAAUAAGCACCGGCUAACUACGUG